UACGAAGGGGGCUAGCGUUGCUCGGAAUGACUGGGCGUAAAGGGCGCGUAGGCGGCUUGCACCGUCAGAUGUGAAAUUCCUGGGCUUAACCUGGGGGCUGCAUUUGAUACGUGUGGGCUUGAGUGCGGAAGAGGGUCGUGGAAUUCCCAGUGUAGAGGUGAAAUGCGUAGAUAUUGGGAGGAACACCGGUGGCGAAGGCGGCCCCCUGGACCGGUACUGACGCUGAGGCGCGAAAGCGUGGGUAGCAAACGGG
rnacentral:rRNA from 1 species